CCUACGGGGGGCUGCAGUGGGGAAUAUUGGACAAUGGGGGGAACCCUGAUCCAGCCAUGCCGCGUGUGUGAAGAAGGCCCUCGGGUUGUAAAGCACUUUCAGUGAGGAAGAACGCCUGGUGGUUAAUACCCAUCAGGAAAGACAUCACUCACAGAAGAAGCACCGGCUAACUCCGUGCCAGCAGCCGCGGUAAUACGGAGGGUGCGAGCGUUAAUCGGAAUUACUGGGCGUAAAGCGCGCGUAGGUGGCUUGAUAAGCCGGUUGUGAAAGCCCCGGGCUCAACCUGGGAACGGCAUCCGGAACUGUCAAGCUAGAGUGCAGGAGAGGAAGGUAGAAUUCCCGGUGUAGCGGUGAAAUGCGUAGAGAUCGGGAGGAAUACCAGUGGCGAAGGCGGCCUUCGGGACUGACACUGACACUGAGGUGCGAAAGCGUGGGUAGCAAACAGGAUUAGAUACCCUUGUAGUC
rnacentral:rRNA from 1 species